GAUGAACGCUGACAGAAUGCUUAACACAUGCAAGUCUACUUGAACUUCGGUUUGGGUGGCGGACGGGUGAGUAACGCGUAAAGAACUUGCCUCACAGAUAGGGACAACAUUUGGAAACGAAUGCUAAUACCUGAUAUUAUGAUUUUAGGGCAUCCUUGAAUUAUGAAAGCUAUAUGCACUGUGAGAGAGCUUUGCGUCCCAUUAGCUAGUUGGAGAGGUAACGGCUCACCAAGGCGAUGAUGGGUAGCCGGCCUGAGAGGGUGAUCGGCCACAAGGGGACUGAGACACGGCCCUUACUCCUACGGGAGGCAGCAGUGGGGAAUAUUGGACAAUGGACCAAGAGUCUGAUCCAGCAAUUCUGUGUGCACGAUGAAGUUUUUCGGAAUGUAAAGUGCUUUCAGUUGGGAAGAAAAAAAUGACGGUACCAACAGAAGAAGUGACGGCUAAAUACGUG
rnacentral:rRNA from 1 species